GAGUUUGAUCCAAUCCAAACUGCAGAGACGUUCCCCCUCAGCGGCUGUAACGGCUGCGGGUGGAAGAUCCCUUCAAGAUAUACUCCAUAUUUUUUUUGUUUGGAGUUGGGUUACCAUAGUAACAGCCCUCAAACAGGAAGCAGCUCCACUGUGUGGCGUAAAACUGAAGCAAAAAAAGACUUUAUUGGUUUAUAUAGUUGGAGAAUCCAGAAACAGCUGGAGAACGCAUGGAGAGGAGGACAGAGUCGCUGAUGUCAUCUUUAAGCAGAGAAUCAGCUGCCAAAAUAGUCAGCCGCACCACCUUUGACUUGACUGCUACACAGGUUAUAGACUGUCCUGACUGUUUCUUAUGGCCCUGGGCUCUCACAGAGCUGAGCUGACGUUUCCCUGACCAGAAGCAGAAACAGCAGCAGCAGCUCUGGAAAAUCUCUUCAAAGCCACUUAUUUGCCAGACUUCUGAUAAUAAAAAAAGCCAGAAAAAGUU